rnacentral:rRNA from 1 species
AUUGAACGCUGGCGGCAGGCCUAACACAUGCAAGUCGAGCGAGCGGCGGACGGGUGAGUAAUGUCUGGGGACUGCCCGAUAGAGGGGGAUAAAAACUGGAAACGGUGGCUAAUACCGCAUAAUAUCCGAUAACCCAUAUGGGAUUAGCUAGUAGGGGGGGUAAAGGCUCACCUAGGCGACGCUCUCUAGCUGGUCUGAGAGGAUGAUCAGCCACACUGAGACAGAGACACAGCCCAGACUCCUACGGAGGCAGCAGUGGGGAAUAUUGCACAAUGGGCGCAAGCCUGAUGCAGCCAUGCCGCGUGUAUGAAGAAGGCCUUAGAGUUGUAAAGUACUUUCAGCGGAGAGGCGUUACCCGAAAAAGAAGCACCGACUAACUCCGUGCCAGCAGCCGCGGUAAUAC